rnacentral:rRNA from 1 species
UACGGAGGGAGCUAGCGUUGUUCGGAAUUACUGGGCGUAAAGCGCACGUAGGCGGCUUUUUAAGUCAGGGGUGAAAUCCCGGGGCUCAACCCCGGAACUGCCCUUGAAACUGGAGAGCUAGAAUCUUGGAGAGGCGAGUGGAAUUCCGGGUGUAGUGGUGAAAUGCGUAGAGAUCCGGAGGAACACCAGUGGCGAAGGCGGCUUCCUGGACCAAUACUGACGAUCAGGUGCGAAAGCGUGGGGAGCAAACAGG